ACCAUCAUCCUUUUCAUCACCAGCCACACAUCCCUAUCAUUUAGUCAUGUAACAAACAUUGACUGAGCUUAAACUCUGCAGGGUCCUGAGCUAAACUUGGGGACAUCAGCUCAGGAAAUCAUCUCAGGAUCUGAGGGCCAUGCUGGAUAAGGAGCUGACUGCCUCUGUGAACAUUCUACUGAAGGCAUCUUCACUUUCAUGAAGACAAAGACUUCAUGCUGUCCAUCUACAUCAGGUAAGGUUGGCAUCUCUUCUCACUCCUUUACCAUAGGACCAGCCAAGUGACUAAGGGAAUGACCUUGAAAAAAAAGCUGGAGACCUGGAGCCCAGCCAGCCACCUUCUGUGUGACUCUGGGCAAGUCCCUGUCCCUCUCUGACUCUCAGAUUCUCCAUCUGUAUAAUGGGGGUCUAGAAUAAGAUAGUUUAAACCAAUGGCUUUCAAAAUGUUGGUCUCAGAACCCUUUUACACUUUUAAAAAUUGAGACCCAAAAGGGCUUUGUUUAUGGGUUAUAUAAAAGUUUACUGUUUUAGAAACUAUAACAGAAUAUAAAAAAUAUUUUUAUUUCAUUUAAAAUGAUAAAAACCAUUACAUAUUAACAUAAAUAAUGCAUUUUUAAGGAAAGUAAUAUUUCCUAAAGACAAAAAAAAUUAGAAGAAUGACAUUUUACAUUUUAGAAGAUUCUGACUUAAUAAGACAGCUGGAUCUCCUCUGAAACAUCUUUAAGUUCUGGGACACUUUUAAGCUCAUGGUGAUAAAUUCAGGUCUUUCAAAAUUCAGAGUUUUGCUUGAAAACAUCAAUUUUAUCAUUGGCCAUAAAUGAUGUAAAUUGUCUUUCAGUGGUGGGCUUAAUUUAUUCAUAUUUGAGGAAGUGUCUACCUAAUACUCAAGCCUGAAGUAACUAUAAUUUGUAGAAAUGACAAAUUAUGGUUACUCAGGCUUGAAAGUAAAAUUGGUGUUCCACCAAAAAACAAGAAAAGUUUAGCUUGUACUAAAACAAUUAGACACACAGUGAAAUUAGGCAUGUAGUAGAAGUGCUCUAUGUGUAUUUCCUAGAAGUGUUUUGUCACACAGAAUAUUGAAAAGGCAUGAACACAAGGAUUGAAAUUUAAUGAAAGUAGUAAUUUUGCCCACUUUAUCAGAGAUGCUAAGUGAAACUGACUUUUUAGAAAUCCAACUGUGUGGCAGUAAAGAAUAUAAUGACAACGAGUACAGGUUAUUGUCACUGUCUCAACUCAUGCUAAAAUGCCAGCAGUUUUACCUAUUUUUUUUCUUUUCUUUUUUUUUUUUUUUUUGAGACAGAGUCUCACUCUGUUGCCCAGGCUGGAAUGCAGCGGCAUGAUCUCAGCUCACUACAGCCUCUGUCUCCCGGGUUAAAGCGAUUCUCCUGCUUCAGCCUCCCAAGUAGCUGGGAUUACAGGUGUCCGCCACCAUGCCCGGCUAAUUAUUUUUUUGUCUUUAUUUUUUGGUAGAGACAGAGUUUUGCUACGUUGGCCAGGCUGGUCUUCAACUCCUGGACUCAAGUGAUCCACCUGCCUCGGCCUCCUACAGUGCUGGGAUAUAGGCGUGAGCCACCACACCCGGCCUGUUUUUUUGUUGUUGUUGUUGUUGUUGUUUUUACCAUUAGUGCAAAUGUCAACAUAGUAAAAGGAUAAAUAAUAAAAUAAUAUCGUUAUGAAAGUAGUUUUGACCUCAUGGACCCCCUAGAGUCCUGGAGAUCCCCAGGGGUCAGCGGACCUUCACUUUGAGAACCUCUAGUAUAAACCUUUAUCAUUCAAAGUGGAAUUUUUGGAAUUGGCAUCACCUGGGAGCUUUCAAGAACUGUAGCAUCUGCUUCUCACCCCAGACCUACUGAAUCAAAUUAUAGUUUAACAAGACCCCCAGGUGAUUUCUGUGCACAUUAAAUCUUGAGAAGCACUGGUCUAAACCAGUGUUUCUCAUCACUGGCUGCUAUGUAUUAGCAUCACUUGGACACAUUUUUCAAACUACCAAUUUAGGCCCCACCUCACAGAUUUCGACUUAAUUUGGCCAGGGCGGGGAUCCAGUAUAGUGGUAUUAAAAAGCACCUUUCUUUUUAGAUGACCCUAAUGUGGUCACCUAAACCUUCUCAGGUUGACUUUAACGUAGGGCCACAGAUGCAAACCACCUAUAUGGAUGAUGAAACCUUUUCUUUACUUCUUAGGGAACUAAGAUUCUGUGAAUACACAGUUACCUCUGGGCCUCAAACUAGCUAUAGAGGAGGCCCUCGUGAUACCACCUCAGCAGAGGUGAGAGAGUAAGGAACCAUUGGUAGAGCCAGUACUGUGGAGAAAUUAAAAUUUAACUGGUGAGGGAUAGCUUCAGGGUUAAGAGAGUUGGACCUCCUACCUUGAAACCUGGCUGCCCACCUGCCACUUGUUCCAUAGUGCUUGGAAAAUAUGAAUAUUUCAUGUGCCUCAGUUGCCCCUUCUGUAUAAUGGGGAUUAUACUAAUGGGUUGUUAUGCAUAUGGAAAUUAAUAUGUGAAAUCUGUACAUGAAAUGCUUUAUCAGUCUCAGCUCUUAUUACUAAUGUGUUAAAAAUGUCUUUGAAUUCUGUAUGUCUGCUUAUAAAAACACAUAAGUUAACAAAAUUCAUUAUCCUCAGGCACCCAACGUACAGAAUGUUUAAGCAUACAUUUGAAGCAACAUGUGAAUGUAUACAUAUGCUGUGAUUUAUUAAGCAUGUUACGGGAACUUUAAAAUACCUCAUUCAGCAGAAAGGAGGCAGAGGAUUAUAAUCCUUAUUUGACAGAUGGGAAACUAAGGCCCAAGUCCUUAUGUUUCUUCAGUCUAGAAAAUGAAGAGAACUUGCACUGUGUGACAAGGGACAGGCGAAAGAAACAGGAGAGGAGGAUAGAUUCCUGUAGACCUUGAUUGUCAGGGAAGAUCCCUUGGGAAAGGUCAGUGGUUGAACUGGACCUUGAGGGACAGAGAGGCUUUUUUUUUUUUUUAAGCAAGAAUAGACUUUUUAUUGAUCAGCAGGAGCAGGUGGAAUCUAGGUGGGCAAAAGAAUACAGAGAUAUUGGGGGAGGGGGGAUUGUUUUGGGAAGUGAUGUGUAUAGGAUAAUAAUAAAAAGAGUAGCUAGCAUUUAGUGCCAUACAGUGCCAGCUGGUAUACUGGGUAAGUGCUUUGUAUAUGUUGUGUUAAUUAAUCCUCAGCAGCCCAGUCAUGUAGGGCCUUUUUUUUUUAAAUAGGAGCAUUUAAAGAAAACUAAGUGACUUGUCCAUAGUCAGACAGCUAGUAGGGGCAAAGUUAGAAUUUGAACCCAUGUCUGUGAGACUGUAAAGCUAUCUGGCCUAACUGGCCACUUAUUGACAGAUGGGAAACAUAGGCUGGGGAGUGACAGGCCAUGGGCCUAGAUAGGUGGGGUGCGGCAGGUUGCAGAGGGCCUCCCUUGAGGCUGGCCAUUUGGGUUUUAUCACAUGAGUUGAUUCUAACCAUAGUCACUCAUAGGGCUUUGCUUUCUCUCCAAAGGCUGUAUAUCCUUUUGAAAUCCCAGAGGUCUUCAGUCUCCCUGUGGAUUAAGGAGAUGUGCAGUAUUUAAAGUGGCUUCAGGAAGGCAUGGAAGAGGACUGAGUGGGGAAAGCUUUUUGUGCAUGCUGCUGGCUACUUCUAGCAGCUGCCUCCAGCCUCCAUCGGCUGCACUCUGGGGAAGAGGAGGCUGCUUUCUACCUCCCAGCAUCUCUGGAUUUCAUGUUCCUGUCAGCACAGAGGAGCUAAAUGGCCUGUAGAGGCUGAAGGUCUGAGGCUCCUAAAGCUGGAAGAAAAGGCUGGGCCAGUCAGGCCAAGCAAAAACACAGUGUAAUUUGUCUCUGAGUGCUUCAUGGUUAAGGGGGAUAAGUGGGCACAAGGGCACGAGGAUAGUUAUAUGUAGAGACUGAGGGGAAGAAGCAGUGAGGAUGAGACUUGUACUUGUCAUCUUCUUGAGUCAGUAGGCCUGCCUCAGGUGCCUAGGAUGUAAUUGCUCUGCUGCUUCUCAUGGGGAGGAGUGGCCCUCAUGACCUUGUUUACCUGGAACACUGUGGGAUGAAUGCCUCCUCCUAUGGGGACUGGCAAUUGCUUUAGCAAAAGGAUAAAUUGCUAAUGGUGGCAUUUCAUGGAUCAGCAGGAUUAUUUCUCCUUGCUAAAGAAGAUUUUGUUGGUCCUGAAUUCUGAGGAGGUGGGACUAGGAAUGGGCUCCAUGAGCCUGUGUAUGACUCAGGGAAUAUUAGGACUUUGGCACAGCCUCAUGGGUUGGGAGUAAGUCUUGGCUCUUCCCUAGCCUGAAUGACAGACAUCAGAUCAUUCUGGUGCUUUGUCAGUGAAGAUGUAGAUUCUGAGCCCACCAAACUAACCUUUUCACUUGAGCAGAGAAACAGCCCUGGGAAUCGGACAGACCCGUGUCUUUCAGGUUUGCUUCACAGAGCCCCAGGGGUUGACAAUAGGUGCCUUGGAGACUGCCUGCAUGGGGAUUUUUAAAAAGCUUUCUUUGUUAAAGAUUUGUAAACCACCGCUCUGAGCCAGUUUUCAUUUUAUAGAUUACUGCAGGAAACUGAACUGCAGAGGUCCAGAAAGUGGGUAGUGCAGGCUGUAGUGCUGAUAACUACUGUAAUACUUGGAUCUUUGUGCUCCCAAAUACCAAAUGGAAGAGGAUCUCUGAGAGUCUUUUGCAAAGAUCCUGUAGGGACUUUAGGCUGGGGCCUUUGGAAAAUUCCAGAGGAUUCCAAUGGAGAUUUUGAGGGACUGCCUCAGAAGAACAAAGAGAAUGAUAAUGGUGAUGUCCCUGCUUUUUACAACAGAUCAUGUUCUGAUAUAUAUGCAAAUCUGUGUAAAGUAAACCCUACCUAAAAUGUACUGGGGACCCAAGAUGGACUGCCUGUAUUGCUUCUAGCUCUGGCUUUUAUAAACUUGCUUCAGCUCACCUUUUCCGUCAUCAUCCCCUGCAUCUCCUCUCCCACGCUGGGCAAUGGAUGGCUCCACUAUACUGUGUGAUGUUAUUGCUAUGUUCAUGCCAUCCCCUCUGCCUGGAAUGCCCUUCUGCAUGAAUGCCUGUGAAAUGUUGUUGCUCCUUUAUAUGGCCUGGCUUCCGUGGUUGGCAGUAAUCUCUUCUUUCGUGGUAUUCCUGUCAUCUUUGUACAUCACAGUCAGCUUUGUAUUCCUAGCUUGUAAGCUACUUGAGGAUAGGGGCAUGUCUGAAUCUAUUUAAUCUCUUGCACCUGUUUGGCAAAUUGAUGUUUUAAGAAGUAUUUAAAUAACUAAAGCUCUCUCUACAGUACAUACUCACUUUUGAUUUAUGGAAUUGGCAAAAUUCAACUUUUUUCCUUGAAUAUUCUUAAAGUGAGACUAAUCUCAAAGGAGAUUGUUCUGUCUUUGGCCUUCAUUGAGUGGUUUUCUGUUACCAGAAAGCUCUUGGUGGCCUUCCUCUUCCCUGGUGUCAAGGUUGACUGUUAUAGGAAAUGGGAGGGGAGAGGGCCGUUUCUGCCACACAUUGUCCUAGGUUCUUAACAUUAUUUAAUCCUUAUAAUGCAAUGUUAUCCUCAUUUUACAGAUGAAACCUGAGACCAAAGAACAUGUAACACAUAAAGUACAUUGCAGAGUUAGGAUGUGAACCCAACUCUGAUUCUAAACCUAAUGCUCUUACUCUUUCAUUCAGAGGUUCAGUCAGUCUUUGUAGGCCGUAGAUCCAGAGAAGCUGCUGUAGCCGACAAUAAAGUUGUUUGUUAGUUUUUUAAAACAUCUAUGUGGUAAGUUGGUCUGGCACUUAAAAAUGUAUUGUUUCCCGGGCACGGUGGCUCACACCUGUAAUCCCAGCAUUUUGGGAGGCCGAGGCAGGCGGAUCAUUAGGUCAAAAGAUCGAGACCAUCCUGACCAACAUGGUGAAACCCCGUCUCUACUAAAAAUACAAAAAUUAGCUGGGUGUGGUGGCGCAUGCCUCUAGUCCCAGCUACUCGGGAGGCUGAGGCAGGAGAAUCGCUUGAACCCAGGAGGCUGAGGUUGCAGUGAGCCAAGAUCAUGCUACUGCACUAUAGCCUGGCAAUAGAGCGAGACUCUGUCUAAAAAAAAAAUAUAUAUAUAUGUAUAUAUAUAUUGUUUACUACUCACCACAGAUCUGCAGGAGUUCACUGAUCUCUAGGAUCUGCCUUAACUCCAACUUACAUGUUUUGGUCACUAUUACAAACUGUCAUCCCAGAAUGAUGCUGCAGAGGCUAGGGCUAGGACACAGACCAGUGUUUCCAUGUGGGAAUUCCCUCCCAGUAUUUCUUAGGAAAUGUAUGUUUUUUGAAUCCAUAAUCCCUAGAAAAAUCAGUUGAGGAAAUGAGAAGUAAUUAUUCUGUGAAUAUUAACACUUACCAUUAUAGAGACAUCACUAGUUUGAAAGAAUCCAACUUCAUCAAAUACUAACAUACCGAGUUGAAGGCUACAAGAACUGAGACAGGAGCAUAGCAGAGAGAAACGGUCACCAUCUAAUUAGCCCUAUUUUUGGUUGUUGUGAUGCCAUUACGUCUGUAUAUCUGGCCAUAUCAGCUGCUAAUGGUGAGUUCUUGCAAAUAAAAUGAUUUGAUAAACAACCUAGCACACUUUAUACAAAUCUUAUGGUGUUCCGAGAAAUAAACUUUGGAAGCAAAAUAA